ensembl:lncRNA
GGCAGGUAGUCUAGUGGUUAGAGUGUAGAGGUGGCAGGUAGUCUAGUGGUUAGAGUGUAGAGGCGGCAGGUAGCCUAGUGGUUAGAGUGUAGAGGCGGCAGGUAGUCUAGUGGUUAGAGUGUAGAGGCGGCAGGUAGUCUAGUGGUUAGAGUGUAGAGGCGGCAGGUAGUCUAGUGGUUAGAGUGUAGAGGUGGCAGGUAGUCUAGUGGUUAGAGUGUAGAGGCGGCAGGUAGCCUAGUGGUUAGAGUGUAGAGGCGGCAGGUAGCCUAGUGGUUAGAAUGUAGAGGCGGCAGGUAGCCUAGUGGUUAGAGUGUAGAGGAGGCAGGUAGCCUAGUGGUUAGAGUGUAGAGGCGGCAGGUAGCCUAGUGGUUAGAGUGUAGAGGCGGCAGGUAGCCUAGUGGUUAGAGUCUAGAGGAGGCAGGUAGUCUAGUGGUUAGAGUGUAGAGGCGGCAGGUAGUCUAGUGGUUAGAGUGUAGAGGCGG